UGAGAAUUCCACCAUGGUGCAAGCUCACUGA
rnacentral:piRNA from 1 species